CCAUGCCACCUUUCGUGAACAGCUAUGCCCGAGAAUGAAUUGUGAUAUAGCGCCGAAUAAGCCACUGCUCUAUUCCCGACUCGAAAUCCAUAAAGGACUUUAAGGGAGAUAAAAUAGGGGGCCCUAUACCAUACAUCCUGCUGCCUUGGGACGACUGCACGUUACAUCAUAGCAGCACGACCAAAUGGAGGUGGAAAGCCCUUGUAUAGGUUGGGCGCUAGCUAGCGCCUUCCUUAUACUAAUAUAAAAUGUUGGGCCUUCCCCUUAUUUAUUAGUAUAAUAAUCACCCAAAUGGCGUCAUGUUGCCUCGCAGUCUUCGACAAUCCAGAGACAUGGAAUGGGAUGGAAUAGAAAGAACACGAAGCGCUAGUGCUACAGGGUUGGUUUUUUUGGGGAGAUAGGCUUGGGAGAAGCAGGGCUCGAAGAACGAGCCGUGCAAGGACGCGGGGAUAUAGCAAGUAAGCAGCAAGGUUCUCCCCUUAGGACCGACUACAACAAGCUCGCGACUCUAAUAGAAAGAAAGGGUAAGCUCUCUGCUCUAUUUGCUUGCAAUGCUAUGCCUAUCAAAGUUGGCGAAGGCUUCUGUAACCUUAGACUCGUUACGCUCUUCCAAUGCCCAUUCCCCUUUCACCUCUAGGAAAAACUUUUGGGAUGAGCCCUUCUACUCGUAAUUCUUAUAUUAGAAGGAAAAUUCUCGAUCCCAGACCUGGCUCCGAUCAAGGCUUAUAAAACUUUUUUUUGAUUGUUCCUCGAUAUGGUCCAUUUAACAAAGGAUCAUACAUUUUUGGCACGUAUUCUUUUUUAGUAUCAUCAUUACACAAUCUAGUCCUUGUUUCAAGUAUAUCGAGAACGCUGGAAGCUAAGCAAAGUCACGAAGCUGGCUGACUACGCUCGAGCAGAGCUCAGACCCGGAGGUGGUGGCUGAACUCGCCGCAGAGUUCAGGAGCGAGCAAGACUAUCUUGGUGAAUGCAAUAAGAACCGGCUGCUCGCCGCAGCAGAGUGCUUUGCCCAUGCUGCUAUCCGCCGCCGAAGCGCUCAAGGGAUUCGUGCUUGAAUGUCGAAAUCAGGAGACUCUAUCCAAUCCAUGCGGCAAAUCUGUUUGUGGUGGAAAAAACUCAACAAUAGGUAAAAUAUGGCUCUUCCAAUGCCCACAGAGGCAAAGCAAUUAACAAGCACUUAAAAUCCAUUAGAAACCUUAUUAUGGAAUAGGCUCUUGCUAGUGAGAUUUGGUUCCACAUUCUACACCCCAUUUUUUGCAUAGAAGCCUAUUUUUCAAAAGAGUGGGGUACUGAAAGCACAAAUUUCGAAUCAUUGUGGGAUUGAAUAUCUGAAUCCGUGGACAGUCAGUGUCGGUUGAUUAAAAUUGUAUCCCUUAGGAACAGUACAUGCGCCUUUUGAUGCAUACGGUUCAAAAAAAAUUGUGAAUCAAUGUAUAGAUUCCAGUCCUCUUUCUUUUUUUCUAGAAAGGUUCUUUCUUUCUUCUAACGAAAGGGUUUUUCUUCAAUUUUUCAAUAAAGACGAGUAUUGAAUCCUUUUUUAUAUUUUCGGUUUUCCAUUAUAAAAUUGGAGUUAUAAGAAAGGGUCAUUAAACUUAUCGAAUUAACUUUUCAUUGAUGUAUUCUUUCAUCGAGAUUUAAUCCAAACCGCGAUGGUAUUUUCUUGUUCCUGAAUGAGUCUGUUUCAUCUUUUUAGGUUUAUGCUCUACUCUGUGUAAAGAUCCGCCCGAUUUGGAUUUGUACAUAUUGGACAAAUGCUCCCAUUACCAUUUCUUUUUUUCUCUCUCUGAAGUGAGUGAAGUCAAGGGCUUUUCUUUUGUAACUACCUAAUCCCCCUGAUCGAUGUUUUCACCUUACUUAACUAGAGAGCAGAUGCUGGAGGGGGAGGCCGGGCUUUCGCCUUUAAAGGUAUAAGCUGUGAUGUGAUAGGCACGAAGUCAAGCAACCUAUGAGUAAGUACUCCCGGUCUAUACCUUGGCUAAAGUAUCUUGCCAGGUAUGCUAAGCUACCUAUCCCUAAAGAGAAUAGGCAUCUUGUUACGGAUAAAACUACGUUUAAGAAAGAACGAUCAUAUGAUGUCCAGAAAACGCAUUAGAAAGCUCUAUAGAGGUACGCAGUUACUCCACCGAUAGGGAAAGGGGAGAGGGAUUGCGAAAACUGAAUUACGAUAGCUCAAGUUCAGUGAGUUUUAGGUAUAUAACAAAUCAGACCAUCACUUUUUAUUUAUUAAUAGCCGUUACAUGGGAAACGACCUUUUCUUAAAUUCAAGCGAUCUUUUCGUAGGCGUUUGCCCCCGAUUCAAUCGGGGGAACUCAUCACAUUAGUGGGUAGAUCAAUUGGGGGAUAAUCGAGGCCAGUGCGUAGGGUGCUGUGAUCCUCUUCAUUUGUUCCCGUUAAUGACAACAAAUCCCAACAAUGCUCCUGCUCGUUAAAAAGGGUUUGCCUGAGUCGUGCGGCCCCCCACAAGGUACAUCUCGCGCCUAUGGGCCGCUAUAACUAUCCAAGAAGACACUCAAAACUGGAAGAAGAAUUUCUCGUAUCCUUUUUCAUGGAUUAGCAUCUCGAGGUCCUUUGAUGGGCAUAAAGAAAUCGUCUUGGUAGCAACCCACCAAACCAAUAGAACAAGGGUUAGCUCUGCAGAAGGUCUACAAGGAAGGUAAGUAGGUCAAUUACCAACCAGCUCCGGACCAAAACGACCUAACAGACUAAUCCCUUAUCUAGGAUUGUAGAUGCUAACAGGGAGGGAAUCAAAGUGGGGGCCCCUCUACCGCCUGUGUCUAUCUCCUGUCAUUCUUUUUUCUGGAGAGUGGGCACCCUAGUGGGCUGUGCCCAAUCUCCCUCUUCUUCCACUUUACAACCAGAAUAAGGAACCUUAGAAUUCACCCUACCUGUCCAUGAAAAAAUGGGAUCUACUUCGUUAGGAUUGGGGAAUUGCUGCGAUUCUUCCUGAAUAGCCUGGAUUCUCCCGUCGAGAGUCACUUUGAAAGUAUUACCUAAACUCUUCCGACUGAAUAUGAUAAAGCCUAUAAAACAUAGAGCUACUAUCAUUUCUUCAUUAUAAAUUGAGAUCUUCUUCGAACUUGAUGCACAAAUAGAUAGAAUAACUGAAUAUGAUAAAGCAUAUAAAACAUAGAGCUACUAUCAUUUCUUCAUUAUAAAUUGAGAUCUUCUUCGAGAUGUCCUUUCAUAGAUUCUCGAACCUCCGACAGACAGAAUCUCCAUGCAUGCGUUCUUUCUCUCCUCCCCUCAGCCAUACAUCCCUUUUUUUCUUUUGGCCGUUUUUGUUAGGCAUUAAAACCCACCCCACGGAGCGGUGCUGAGUGGUGUCCUCACCUCCCUAAUACCUAAACAGAGUUCCGUCAUGUCAAACCUGAAAGCGGAUGCGAGAAAGAUGUAAAAAAUCUGCUUAGGGUCAGAUUGCGUUGGCACAGUUCUCUAAAUAAGAUAAGAGAUUUCUCAUCCGGUUGAGCUGUCGUUCUUUUUUGGGACACAUAGGCUAUUACAGACGCAUCAAAAAAGACUUUUCGAAGUGCGGAAUCCCAGAAUGGAGACUUCACAUACGUAGAUUUCCAUGUUUAUAUCCGAAUGAAGCGUUCUCUUAUCUUCUUCCUGCCCUAGGAGUAGCACAAAAAGAGGGAUUAGCAUUAUUGACCCAAUGAUAAAGCACUAACACCUUCCUCGUUGGGGCUCCGCGCACUGGGAAAAGGCUGACGCGACGGGAAAUCGGCCACUAGUUACAAAGCUCCAAUAAGGUAUCGAGAGGGCUAUCACAGUCAGGUGCGAAUUGAUGCGCACUGGGAAAAGGCUGACGCGACAAGAAAUCGGAUUUCUCUCUAUUUGUAAUCCAAUACAAAAAUCAGUUGGCUCCGUUAAACUGGCUAUAUGUUGUGUAUUAUCAACGAUUUCUACAUAAGGUGGCAAGAUGCGCUAGUUUUGGGGAUGUUGUUUACACUACUAUUGGUAACAACUCAAAGUGCCGGAACGACUCCGAAUGAACGACCAGAAAAAAAGAUGCACAAAUGAAAAAGGGCUAAAAAAAGGACGAAGAGAAUAAAUACCCAACUCUUUCUUGAAUCAACAAAUAAAUUGAUUGAUAAAUACAUUUCCAAUAAUGAAAUAAAUCAAGAAAAAAUUAACUUUAUUUCGACUAUAAAAAAGUCACUUUAUAAUAUUAGUAAGAANNNNNNNNNNNNNNNNNNNNNNNNNNNNNNNNNNAAAGUCACUUUAUAAUAUUAGUAAGAAAAAUUCACAUAUUUUUUUUGAUUUAUCCUACUUAUCACAAGCAUAUGUAUUUUACAAAUUAUCACAACCUCAAGUUAUUAAUUUGUCUAAAUUAAGAUCUGUUAUUCAAUAUAAUAAAACGUCUUUUUUCCUUAAGACUAAAAUUAGAAUAAGGAAGUUUUAGACCCACUCAAGGGAACUAGCAAAGAAGCAAGAUGUCCAGUCGCCUGGUCUUUCGGAUUCUUACGAUAGCAGGCGAGACUAAGCAGAAAUACAAAGUGUAGGUAAUUCUUUAUCCACAAAAUGGAUUUGUUUAUCAUAAAGAGAUUCGUCGUUCAACCUAAGUAGAACGAAAAGAAGGAAUUGGAAAAGAAAAGGGGGAGCUAUUGUGAAGCCUAGAAAGGCGGAAGCGGAAAAUCGCUUAUACCGAGUUCCCCAACAGCAGCUUAGCUUAGUAGCAAGACUCUUUCUACUGGCGUGGCGCUGCUGGAUGCUUGGAAGCGGAAACUUCCAGCUGGUCACCUUAUUUCUACGCUGAAGGUGCGAUCCCCCGUUCCAUCAAUGCUACUUUCCUUGCUCUGAUUCCUAAUAUUUUUAUCUAGGACUACCUCUAUUAAAAUCUAAAAAAAAAAAGCGAGACAGGUGGCUAGGUAAAGAAUACCUAGUGGCGCGAGAUAACUCUCUCCUUUGAACUCGGCUAUUUAUCCUGGCCGAAAGGGAACUCUUUCUAGUUGGUGGUGGAAGGUGACUGAACUCCGUUUGUGAUCCUAGCCCUGGAAUCACUUAAGACUCGUACAAGCAGAGUCUUUAAGUAGAUAAAGAUAAGAUAAUAAGCAUCUUGCUUGCUUUUCAAAUCGACGUCGCGCCUACNNNNNNNNNNNNNNNNNNNNNNNNNNNNNNNNNNNNNNNNNNNNNNNNNNNNNNNNNNNNNNNNNNNNNNCCCCUUACGAAACUUUCGUUAUUGGGUUAGCCAUACACUUCACAUGUUUCUAGCGAUUCCACCUCUCUACCAACCUAUCUAUCGAUUUUGAGUAAGACAUGCUUAUGCCCUCCCUGGCGNNNNNNNNNNNNNNNNNNNNNNNNNNNNNNNNNNNNNNNNNNNNNNNNNNNNNNNNNNNNNNNNNNNNNNNNNNNNNNNNNNNNNNNNNNNNNNNNNNNNNNNNNNNNNNNNNNNNNNNNNNNNNNNNNNNNNNNNNNNNNNNNNNNNNNNNNNNNNNNNNNNNNNNNNNNNNNNNNNNNNNNNNNNUUUGUGGAAACAUAUCAAUUGGUCGAACCCUUGAUAAAGGAAAGAGAUGCUGUGUAUGAAUCACUCACAUAUUCUUCUGAAUUAUAUGUAUCCACGGGAUUAAUUUGGAAAAACAGUAGGGAUAUGCAAGAACAAACAAUUUCAACUGGAUACCAUCAAGAGGGCAAGAGAGGAGGAGCCGAUGAAAUUUUUUCGGAGUUCUUCCCCGCUGACGUUCGGAUCCCUCCGUUGUUUCCUUUUCCUUCCGCACCUUUUCCUCGAAAUGAGAACAGAAAGAUGCAUAAAAAAACAAUAGCGGUAUAUCAAGAGGAAGGGCGCUAGUGCAGGAAAGGUAGAAGUUUGAAAGGAUUGGCAUGAUAAGAUAGGGUCUCUGCCAACCAGUGAGGAGGGCUUUAGGCCUGUCCUUGAAGGUUUUCAGUGCCAGUAAGGAAAAUGGCCUUCACGUUUGCGUCGCCCUUUACUUUUGGUGGUAACAACAGAGUGAUCCUCUAAGGUUUACGUCCUAGCAAAUAGGAAAAGGAGUAAGCAUACAUAUCGGAAAGCAAAGAUGCCGCCUCUCGUUAUUGAUUUACUUUGAGAGAACUCAGUCCUUGGCUUAUGGCAGGAAAACCGGUAGUUGUAAAAAGAUUUGGUUUUGAACAAUAGUCUUUCACAUCCAGCUAUAACAAUGAGUAGUUUUUUAAUUUCUAAAUGGCAGUUCCAAAAAAACGCACCAGCGAUCCUGAUCUAUUUGAAAAUUGCUAGAAUUGAUAUAUCCAUAUAUCAUAUUUCUGCANNNGCAAUUUCUUUUCUAAGAAAGAGAUCAUAGUGAUUGAUGGCUCUUUCAAUCCGCCGAAAUGGAACGCUUUGGCGUGUACCAAAAUGGAGAAUUUGGGUCAGAUUUAUAAGCUUACGACCACUGAACAAACUUGGUUGACGAACAUAGUUUAUGCGCCGCUAAUGUAGCGGCUUGUCGAGAGGUCAGACCAAUCCCAUUCAUCCUGGUCUGAUCCGAACAGAUCUUCUUGAAUGAAUUGAUCCAUUGUUGUAUGCCCUACUUCUUAGUAAAUUUCUUUCUACUCGGUCCCGCCGUACUUCCUUUGACUACUCCUGAGGAGCGAGAAAAGAGAGGAAAUGGACUAUCUGGUUUGGCCACUACAUUUUAUGGAAAAGGUAGAGAUUAAUCCCCAAGAGCCAAGAUAAGCACGCCGCGCGCCUGCUGGCCGAGCAUCGAAGUUAUCUUCCGGACCCACGCUCCUGUUUAUUAUUUUCUAGAACCUCAGGAACUAUCCUUUCCGGCUGCCUCCUCCCCCCUGGCUUCGCCCUUGGGUUUGUCAACCAACCUGGCAUGUAAUUCGGUUCGGAUAGGCUUCAUUCAAGAAUGCCACCGCCCCAGGAAUCAAUAAGAAAACAAGGGAUUUGCGAUCCCAGGUAAGAACGGUUCAGGAUCAUGGGAUCCUUUUCUAUCAGAUAGGAAGGGCUGUAGCACAAAAUGUACUUCUAAGUAAUUGCCCCAUAGAUCCUAUAUCUAUUAGUCGAGAGACGUUCUGACCGCGGUCAGAGUCUAGUCCUUGAAGACCAAACUCUAAGAAUUCAUUCACUGAAGCAACUUGAACAAAAUAAAAUUAAAAGAAAGAAAUUCAUUGACUUCGAAAAGGAGGUCAAUUCCCUCUGCCCCUACCGUACUCCAGCUUGGUAGUUUCCAUCGCCUGUCCAGGGUUGAGCCCUGGGAUUUGACGGCGGAAACCGUGAUCGGAAUCGUGGUUUGAAGAUGAUGAUUUGAAGAUUCAUUCGAUAUAGAAGGGUGUCUUGGUUGCCGAUACCGAGGUUGAAUGAAUCAUUCCACUUGGCAACAGCAGAAGUGGAGUUUGGCACAGGUUAAAGGGGAAAGCAAGGAGGAAUUAGACGAUACAGCUCUUAUUAGUUUAAUAGUUUACCCAAAAGUUACUCAAUGAAUCGGUUGAUUGGAAUCGCGAGAUGGAUAGAUGUUACAGAUGGCUUGCAAAGCCAACACAAGAGAAAAGAGAUAUGUUCACCCUCGGCAAUACGCACUUGAUAAUACCCCGACCGCAAAUCAAACUUCGUGAAGUGAGGAAGGAGCAAAAUAAGACAUAUUUUUUUUAAUCUUUCUGUGCUAUUAUUCACUGCCCAAGAAAGCGUUAUGCAAAAUGAAAUGGUACUGGCACUUCGUCAAACCUUCCAUGAGCAGCAGCCCUGUACCUAGAAGCACUUUUGUUUUCAACCGCCAGAUGGUAAAGGAAGGCGCCAUCCCUCCUUUCCUUCUAUCCCGGUGAACAAUGUUCCCCUAGCAUCUCAAGUGAUUAGAUGGUGACCGGCUUCGCGAGACCAUUUCGGCCUACACAGUGCGUGCAGGCAUUUUCAGAGAGCGCAAAACUCUAACUUGAGUAAGUGCUGUGAACCGUGGGGUUUGCCAGCAGCCUCUUUCAGUCGUUCCCAUCGCUUUGUUUGGAUUGACAUCAAGAGAGACCGAACGCGAUAGACUGCACUUUCACUCCGGAGGAAUCGCAUAUUCUUAAGCGAGAAGAUCAGACUCUUAUUAUUGAAUUUCCAAAUCUUUGAUGAUUCCAUCAUCUAUGAUUGAGGUGCGAAAACGUCUGGAUAGGUAUCCUUCAUCUGAACCGAAUUCUUUCUGGUUAAAGAAUCUCUUUCUAAAACAAUAUGUUGAUGUCUCUAGUAAACCAAAGUCAUCGCUUAAUAGCUAUUUUGCUUCAAUUUCUUGUUCUAUAUGACCGACAUAAGACUCGACUUGUUAGAUAUUAUGGAGGUUCAGUGAGCACCAUGCCAAAUCUCUCUACCAUUUUCUUCUCCCGCCUCCUCUUCAGACGUGUCCUCGACAACCUCGCGGUUCUUCGGUCUCCGCUUUUGGGGGCGGGCCAGACCGCCCCAGAGAGGAACGUGCCCACGAGGGCACCACCAGAUGUUGUAGAUAAACCUACUAAAGAAGAAGUUGAGUAUAUCAUAGCUGACCGCACCAUGGGCUAGCCCAUACACCCACUGCACGAGUGGAAUACUACUUAGUCAAGUAGAAAGGAACAAGGUCUUACGGCACGAUCACUAUAUCUUCGAUUUUUCUUUAUCUCUCCUCUAUGGAAAGAGGACUAGUAUGCCACGCGAGCUGGUUAGAUGCGUGAGACAGAGGGCUCGUAGUACCUGCUAGCGCGGCUACGCAGUGGAAAGGAAGGAGCCGGCAUCAGCGGCUUCGUGCCACACUAGAGUAAUCCAAUAUGUGGUUCCGCACGUUCCACCACUUCUCCAUUCAUUUCCAACCUACCCGAGGUAAGGAAGGCAACCAAUAGCCUUUUUACCUACUAUGCCUUUCACCGGGUGAGCAAAAAGUAGUUACCUUUAGCCCGGUCUUCCUUAUUAAUUAUUGAUAAGGAACAGUGGAAGCAUCAUCCUUAUAAGGCUGUUUCUAAACAAAAGCAAUUCUUUUUCACAUUCAACCUUGAGAGGGUAGGCUCCCUGCUCCGCCAGCACGACAACUGUCCAAAUCAUUUGACGCUUCUUCUCACUGACCAGCCCCUCGACUUCCACUUCAGGUUCCGCCGUUCAAGUGAGAUCCCGAAGGCUCGAACGUUUUGCUAGCUUUGAAAGAUGGGCCAAAGGAAAGAGGAAGACCAAACAAAGUCGCGGUCCUAUUAUAGUUUUUGACUCUUGUGGGAAAUUCAAGAUGUCUUUUUUUGUUUUGGCGAUAAUCACUUCUGGGAGGGUGAAUCCCAGGUUCCACCACAAGAAAGAAGGACAAUUGGUAGUUCCCUACGAGGAAGUGCUGCCCAAAAGGGACUACUCUACAUCGGCCGGGAUUGGACACUAGUCCUUCAAGUCUUCAAAGAUCGGAUUCAAUCGAUUAUUCGCAUUCAACUUCCCAAAAGGGACUACUCUACAUCAGCCGGGAUUGGACACUAGUCCUUCAAGUCUUCAAAGAUCCCCAAGCAGAACAACCUCACUGUCUCCCGAAGCAGCCUAGUCAUUUAGAAGAAAUUUCGAGGUUCUUAUUUACUUGAAAGGGUAAUCUGGAAAUAAAAGAGUCAUUUUUAUUUUCAUAAUUAAUUGAUUUAUAUGCUAAAAGAUCAUAUCUAUAACAUUUUUUAAAAUUAUCUUUUUGGUUUCAUAGACUGAUGAUUAGCCAUCAAGCCAGCGACUAGGCCCCAAGGUCGGGGACGCCGAGACCUUUGCUUAAGCAAUGAUAUGUUUAGUUAAUCCUUUCAAGGGCUAGCUGGAUCCGAAGCGGCUUGGCUAGAACAACCACGAUCAAAGGGAUGUAUGGCUAGAACUUAAAUCAAAAAAUCAUGGGCGAUUGAAGCGAAUACAAUAAAAGAAUGCAAGGAAGGGUUCCCCCAGCGAAGGCAUCUCGACUGCUUCCAAAAUCGGGUCAUCGGAGGCGGGUCAUAGGUUUUUCCCGAAAAGCUAAUCAUAGGUUUUUCUCUCCAUCGAUUUCUUAUAUUCCCAGGGUCAAGGCAGUCUUUAAUCCAUGGAUACAUGCUUCAUCUUGUGUGGUAUUCUUAGUUCCUUAAUCCAAGCAAGAUAGUCUAGAGCAAGUGCAAAGAGAAUACCUAUGCAAUUGAACCGAUUCAAUUGUUUACUUAUUCACUGAGACUGAGUGAAUUUGCAAGCCCACCAAUUCAUUUUAUACAAGUAUUUCUUAGAGUUGAGAUAAUUUUGCUUGACAAUUAGGAUCUCUUUACAAAAAAAAAAAUAUGAAUAGCAAUCAUAGAUAUCUUACCAAUCCAAUUGGGUUUUUUCUAAACNNNNNNNNNNNNNNNNNNNNNNNNNNNNNNNNNNNNNNNNNNNNNNNNNNNNNNNNNNNNNNNNNNNNNNNNNNNNNNNNNNNNNNNNNNNNNNNNNNNNNNNNNNNNNNNNNNNNNNNNNNNNNNCUUGGAUACUUCAUUUUUUUAGUCCAACCAAGCCAACCAUAAAUUAUUCUAAUUGAAUUUUUCUAAUUGAUAAUAGUAAUAUGAAUCCCCUCAAAUUUUGUUUUCCUUGAUCAAUGGAGGAACAAUAUCACCAUUUUUGUUCAAUAAGAUACCAAAGUGGAUGAUUGACUUAUUCCAUACUAGAAAUAAUCGCAGGAAAUCCUUUGAUAACCCGGAUUCCUAUUUCUCAAUGAUAUUCCACGAUCAAGACAAUUGGCUGAAUCCAACUGGAUACUUCAUUUUUUUAGUCCAACCAAGCCAACCAUAAAUUAUUCUAAUUGAAUUUUUCUAAUUGAUAAUAGUAAUAUGAAUCCCCUCAAAUUUUGUUUUCCUUGAUCAAUGGAGGAACAAUAUCACCAUUUUUGUUCAAUAAGAUACCAAAGUGGAUGAUUGACUUAUUCCAUACUAGAAAUAAUCGCAGGAAAUCCUUUGAUAACCCGGAUUCCUAUUUCUCAAUGAUAUUCCAAGAUCAAGACAAUUGGCUGAAUCCAACUGACUGUUGUCUACCUUUGAUUCUGUCUUCCCGGUGAAGGUCCUGCAGAGGUCUUUUUUAGUGAUCAAAAUUGAUUAGGGACAGUGAACCAUGAUGAAAGGAGCUAUUGACCUGAGUGCUUUUCUAUUUAUAUUUGAAAAGCAAGGUAGGUUAGUUAACGAAAGGGUAAGGUGAGGCUGGAAUGGGAUAUAGUAAGUGUGCCACGAGUGCUCCCUUCUAAGGCUUCUGCUUCUCUCUAAUAUGCCUCUCCAAUGGAAAAAAUGGAUUGACCAACCCACCUCUUAAAUAUCCUGCAUAAAAAUAGGUAUUAUUUGUUUUAAGAGAGACUUUCAGGCAGAACUUGGGCUAGACUUUGGUUGGAAAGAUCACUAAGGAAGAUAAGGUAUAUGGGGGUGAGGCUUAUGAGAGAACGAGUCGAAUAGGAGCAAAACCCAUUGUCAAAAGAAAACGUCUUGUGCAAACGUUAUUUUUUUAGUGAUACAGAUAGGCUCUUUUCCCCUAUUUUCCUAUUCUCUGAUAAAAUUGAUUCCGCACAGGGGAAUAUCUUCUUUAGCCGAGUGGUGUUUCUGGGUGCUUUUUUUUGAUCAAUAGGAAGAGGAGGAAAACAACAACAACCGUGGACAGAACUAAAAAGAAUUCCUUAUUUCUAAUAAUUAUUCAAAUUAUCAAUAGGAAGAGGAGCCUGUCGUAUCCUUCCCAACCCAAGACGACUAGGCGGUAAAAGGGAACGAAGGAAUUCUGUCUGUUGUCACAAGAAUUGUUCAAGUUGAAUGCGAAUAAUCGAUUGGAACUAGGCUCCCUUAAGAUCGUGCGAAAGAGUUCUUCUUUACCAAGCCGCCAUUUCCCCCUUUCACAAUGUUCUCGUGAAGUUUCUCACGAAUCAAAGUGAAAAUUGCAUGAGAUAAGGAAAACGAGAUAUCAAGCGGGAAGGCAAUGACGGUGAGGGAAAGGCAAGUAAUCAGAAGCGAAGAGGACAGGUUUGAAACUCAUUCGGUAAUCUUCUCCUGAAGGUACAUCUGAGACUUCUUAAUUGGCUAGUUGUAAAUAGCCCCAGGCUAUGGAACAAAGGAUUAUCUCGGCCCUAGACCGAGGUAUUGAUGGUGAUUUUCUAAUCUCGGAUUAUUCCUUCUGACUAAGCAUAUGAACCAUGAAUUGUCCAAAUAAGACAAUUCAAUCAAUCCUUUGUUUUGUCAUGCUCAAACUGGGAAGCUACCUUUGAUACAACUGCCUUGACAGGAUUGUUGGAGGAAGCUUGGCUAAUCUUCACCUUGUACUCAACAUCCGCGAACUGCAUUCAAAGACCAUUUAAAUGGCAGAAGCCAAAACUCUGAAACAUAUAUCAACAAUUUGAUUCUUUGAAACAUUUCUGAGAAAUCACAUCCGCGAACUGGCAUUAAUCUAGACCAUCUAAUCUGAGAUAAAUCGUAUUGAUAAUGCCGUCUUAGCCAGUUUUUCCAUUGAUUGAUUCUAUAACUCUCAAGUUUCUGGACCGAACCUCCCUACGUCAAGAGCUUUUGGCUCUUCACAAGAGAGUACCAGGUCGUAACACCGGAAUCGAUUUCAUUCAACGUUAGAUUCAAAGAACUGCGCAUAGCCCCCCUGCUCAUGAAACGGCUCUGUUGCAAUGGAUGGCAGAGGGUCCGUAGUACCCGAAGCACUGGAGUGAUCCAGUAGCCGGGAAGGGGCCUAGAAGUGCCUACUACUACACCACACUACACUUGGCUCUACACAUUUACAGAGCUAACCCCUGUCCAGUGCUUGGCAGAGCUAAGGGGGCUUCAAUCCUUACUCUUUAUCCCCAUCUUCGCCCAGGCUAAACUGGAUCUCUUUGGACCUGGAGAAUGUGUGACACUAGGUCGGGGUUUGGUGAACCAACUGGUCGCUCCUCUAGUUGAAGUAUCGGGGCAACGGGGAUCAACUUCCAGGAUAGGAAAGGGCGAUCCAUCUAUUUAUUUGACUGAACCUAGUUCACGAGAAAGAGUCCUAGGGUUCCAAACCUUUGUUUUGCACCGAGAAGAAAUCAAUAGAAUCGUCUAACGAGCGUCUUCUCUUAGGUUUCUUCCUCCCACGCCCGUCGCCGCCCAGCCCGCGUUAGAGGGGAAGAUUAGCAAAGCGGGAAAAGAAAGAAGUUCAUGGGAAGAGGUUAGUGGAUGGCAGGUUCGAUUGCGACCAUUUCACGCGGUUUAGGGGGCACUUGAGUCAGGCGCCGGCGCCCGCUCCAGUUCCAGAAGGUAUAGCUCUCGCCUCAGCUUUUUCUUCAAAAUCGGAGAGCCCUGUUUCCAAACAGAUUUGUCCAUCAGUAAUGGGACGUUCGGGAUGAAGCCAAGUUCAGUUGGCGGACCACUUUUUGCCGGGGGAGGAAUCGGUUUUGUAGUAAAAAAAUCUUAUGCACCUAGCUCGCUGGAAUGUCGAGAAUUUGAGCAGGGAGGGCCAUGGCUUCCCGAUAUACACUGGUAGAAAAUUUUUGUUUUUUGUUUUUUUACCGACUCGUUCCUUCCUUGCGGAGGACGAAUCAAGGCUUGAAGUGGUUCGUCGAGCAAGAGGAGAAAGUUUCUAGUUUGAUAAGGUAACUGUUCGCUUUAAAAUCGAAAAUGGAUUCGAUACAAUUCAAAAGAAUCUAAGAAAUGAUCAAAAUAGAAAUGAUUUUUGAAUUUGAUUCUAUAAAAAUUCAAGUUUAAUUUUUGAAUGAAGUUAGACGAUACAGCUCUUAUUAGUUGAAUAGUUUACCCAAGAGUUACUCAAUGAAUCGGUUGAUUGGAAUUGCGGGAUGGAUAGAUGUUUAUUUUUGGAAACUUAUAAAGUUCUUCCGUCAAACCUUGAUCAAUGAACCUACAAAAUCCUUCAGGGUUUGAUUCACACUCCAUGUUCUGAGAAAGAUUUAUCAUCCGAAAAGAGGAAAAAACGGAGUCUUUUUCUAAAGAAAUGCGUUGAGAAAGGGCAGAUGUAUUGAACCUUUCAACGAGAUAGUGCUUUUUCAACUCUCUCAAAAUGGAUUCUAUUCCCGCUCCAUUGGUGUCAAGUCCGUUGUGAGAGGCGCUUAAAAGGCUGUUAAGGCAUUAGACUCAGGGUUUUCCAUGAAAACGAUUUUCCCCACACGAAGUUUGUGAAUAAGUGAUUGUCUGAUAAUGAGCAAGGAAUAUCCGUCUUUCUGCUGAACAGGAUGGAUUGAACUCAUAAUUCAUUAGAUGCCUUUUAUGAAUGUCAACUAAGUAUCGUAAGUAAAUUGCUACAGGUUGUUCAAUCAUUUGAUAACCAGAGUCAUUCUUUGAUAAAUGAUCACUAUGAGUCAGACUCAAUAGAAUUUGAUCAGCUUUUUAUCAUCCUGGCGUCACCCAGCAGUUUGAGGAGUUGGCCAGAUACGGAUCGAAGCCCUGCCUCGAAAGAGUCAGGACUUUUGGGCAGAUUCCAGUAUCCGACCCAUCUCUUUCUGCCGAUUCCCCGAGUUGUCGGAAUCUCUGGUUCGAAAUAGGUCCGAGGUAUUGAUGGUGAUUUUCUUAUCUCGCAGAACAGAAUGUGAUACGAUGAGAUAGAAUGCAAUAGAAACAGAUCGGAAGAGCACACGUCUGAACUCCAGUCACGGCUACAUCUCGUAUGCCGUCUUCUGCUUGAAAAAAAAAAAGGGAACGGGUUACCUACUCUUAAUGGGCAAAGCGAGCCCCUUUAUUCUGAAUUCUUUAAUUCAGAAUCAAUCAAAUCUCCCCAAGUAGGAUUCGAACCUACAACCAAUCGUUGCAGAACUACUGGGCCAGGAGAGGACAACCUCUUGUUCCUACUCCUCUCCGGGUUGGUCAUGCUUUGGAAGAUACUUCAGCCGGUUCUCGUAGUCAAUUGUUCAGAAAGAUUGAGAAAUAGAACCAUCUGAUGCAGUUCGAGAGGCUUAAAUUUCAGCCUUCCUACAUCUGCGGGCAGACCGCUUAAAGGAAUCCUCUAUCCGGACUCCCCCUAGAACCUCUGUCUGGUCUAGGGACUACUUUAAGCUUGAUAGCUCCUGUCUCCUCACUUAAAGCGUAAGCGGCUCACCAGUCCACCCACCCUUCACUCACGUGCGAAAUUAUAGAAGAUCCCCUUUAAGAUCAAACAAUUCCAUCAAAUUCGUUCUUGAGUCAAUCUUCUCAGUCUUUAUUGGCUCGAAGCUCUUGAUUUUUUGUUUCAACACUUGUAUACUUUCUAAAGAGUCAGGCAUGCCCCUGUCCCUGUCUCCUGGGGAGGCCGAAGAGCUGUUGGCUCCCACUUCCUUCUAUUCAAAAGGCGAGCAGCCCUUGAAAAGGAGUUAUCCUCCUCAAAAUCCUUCUCACCUUGGUCGAGUUGGCUUAAGCCCGAAUCCAUCCUUACGGAAGAAGGGCCACUUUAUGAUAAUGAAACCAACCAGCAAAAAGCAUUAACGCUGCAAAGACCAAAACAAAAGCCUACAUAGCAAUUCCAAUGCUACGCCUACAACCACUCGGCCAUCUCUCCUACAUAAUGAUUAUGACCCAAAAAAACUGAGUGAAUAGCGAGUCAGUCAUGAACAAUUAUUGAUUGGAUAGGUACGACCAAUCCAUUCUAUCAACCUACUAGCAAUGGGGGAGAAAGCAUAGCAUGUCGUAAUAAAAGCUUGAUUCGAGGCAAAACCAAAAGAGUAAGACAUGGUAAUUGCUACGCUACUCUAACCAGUCGAAUGAUAAAGGGGAGUGGAAAUGGAAUUGAUUUAAGAAAUUGGCUUAUUCGAAAAAGGCCUUGUUCUUUUGAAGAUCUAUCUCGUGUCUGGUACUGCAUGGUUCCACUCUGCAAGAACUCCGAAUCAUUCUCUUGAAGCUCAUCCUCUUCAUCAUAAAUGAUCCGCUUGCUGCAUGGUUCCACUCUGCAAGAACUCUGAAUCAUUCUCUUGAAGCUCAUGCUCUUCAUCAUAAAUGAUCCGCUUGCCCCGAAAUGACCUGGACCAAUAGGGAAAUCCCAAUUCAUUGGGCCUUUCGAUACAAUCAAAUAGAAAGCCCCCCGAAAUGACCUGGACCAAUAGGGAAAUCCCAAUUCAUUGGGCCUUUCAAUACAAUCAAAUAGAAAGCCCCAAGGGCGCCAUAUUCUAGGAGCCCAAACUACUUGAAUUGUUGUUCAUAUUGAAAGAAGUCGAGAUUGAUAAGGAGUCGUUUAAUGAUUCUCGAACAUGUACUUGUUUUGAGUGCAUAUUUAUUUUCUAUCGGGAUCUAUGGAUUGAUCACAAGUCGAAAUAUAGUUAGAGCCCGACCCUUCUCCUGAAAAAGACAAUAGGCCGUGGCGAGACUGUCGACAUCGGUCAAAUCCGGACUGAAGACUUCUCCGUGGUGCCCAAGCCGUGAAGUCGGAAUAAGCGCUGAAGUUUAAGCAUCAGACCCACUAGUCGGCUAAGCCUUUGAAGGCCGAGGGUAGCCGGAUUUUGGGAUAGGAUCUCCCCGGCCUGAUAUGGUGUGAGCCACAGGAAGUGAAGCAUGAAAUUGGCGACAAGUAUACACCUGUCCCAUAAAUCAAUAGCAAAAAUGUGGAGCCUAAUAGAAAUUACUACUAGUUGGACCAAAAAAAAAGAUUUUUUCAAGCGAUUGUACUUCUCCUUUAUCCCUUGCCUUGCUUUUUUGCUCGGCCACUCUCUGUUCUUAAGUAAGGGAAGCUACCUUUGUACAACUGCCUUGACAGGAUUGUUGGAGGAAGCUUGGCUAAUCUUCACCUUGUACUCAACAUCCGCGAACUGCAUUCAAAGACCAUUUAAAUGGCAGAAGCCAAAACUCUGAAACAUAUAUCAACAAUUUGAUUCUUUGAAACAUUUCUGAGAAAUGAAAGAUUGGAGGGCAAAGGGUGGGUGGCCCCCUACAAGUUCUUGAAGUCGGAUGGAACGAAAGCGCAUAUAGGAAACGAAACUCAGAGUUUUUUUAAAGAAAGAGCUUGUAUGACAAAGAAUUUCUAACUAAUAGAGCUUUAAUUAAAUUUACCAUUUCUUGCGAAGUUUUCUCUUGUUUUGAGACCUGCCCUUGGGAGGGGAACAACAGUUGGAAACGGCUGCUAAUACCCCGUAGGCUGAGGAGAAAAAGGAGGAAUCCGGGUAUGAAUUCGAUUCUAAGUUGGAGAAUGCCCAUGAAUAGGGUCUUAUUAUAGAAUCCGCAGUUUUGAACCCAAUUAUUGCAAUUGCUCAGGAUAGCCUUUUUUAGCUUCUAGGGUCUAUUUCUUAGUUGUCUAAUUAGACAACAUCUUGCUUCGAACAUAGGAGUUGCUAAGAGUAAAAUUCGAGAAAAAGAGCCGAUUGUCCGGCUGAUCAUUCCGCUGGCAUCUCGCAUUCACGCCCCGGGUUUUUUUUUUUCAAGCAAGGAAACCCCAGAACCAGAAGUAGUAGGAUUGAUUCUCUUAAUAAUAAAAUAAAUAAAUAUGUCGAAAUGUUUUUGCAAAAAUUAUCGAAUUCAAAAUAAAUGUCCGCUAGCACGUCGAUCGGUUAAUUCAAUAAAANNNNNNNNNNNNNNNNNNNNNNNNNNNNNNNNNNNNNNNNNNNNNNNNNNCUCUAGAAGAAAUACGGGGUUCUGCUUCUGGCGGCAACAUGCUUGGUCCCGCUUAUGGGGUCAAAUCAAUACGUUCUAAGAAGAAAGAUUGGAAUAUCAAGCUCAUCGAGAUCAUCGAUCUCAUACCAAAUCCCAUCAAUCGAAUCACUUUUUCGAGAAAUAUGAGACAUCUCCUUCGUUUUCUAGAGAAGGAAUAAAAAACAAAUACAACAGGGAGUGAUCAAGGGCGGCUAAAUAUGAGAUAGGUUGCAGCUAUAGUCAGAACUGAACCUGGCUAAUUUCGUAAUGUUGACCCCACGGAGAGAGUUGUUGAGGGUUCGAGGAACUUGCUUUACUCAAGCUUUCACGUGCCGACUGAGUCCAUCUCUUAAGGAAAGGUCAUAUGUCCAUGUCCUUCAUGGAUCUAGGAGUUCAUACGAAUAAUGGCUAGCGAGAUUUCGCAUUCAAUUCCAAAGGUUGAGUACCUUGGCUCGGGUAGGUGGUGCUGGGUUCCGUGUCCUUGGCAGGCUCGACCAUCGGAGAUCCGUUCAUUACGAACGUUUUUUCUCGAUGUGGACCAAGCUCCGACUUCCUUUUUAGCUUUGGCUCGGAAGAGGUCGGCCUUUGAGCCCGUAUUGGAAGGGGAUCUUGGAAGACAGGCGACAUCCUAUGAGGCGGAUUUGUUCGCCCAAAGUGGAUGAUCGAAAGUUCCUAUUUUGCUGCCUCUUCGAUCGUCUCCGACUCCCUAAAAAAUAAGAAUACUUGGUGCUCGUCUCAAUUUUAUUUUCAAUUUCUAAACAACUAUCGUUUGUGAAUGUAGGUUGUGUCGGGGAUAUACUGUGGCUAGUAAGUCAUUUCGUUUGCAUUUUAUUCAACGAGACCGAAAACACAGCAAUGCUAUGUUUAGUUAAUCCUUUCAAGGGCUAGUUGGAUCCGAAGCGGCUUGGCUAGAACAACCACGAUCAAAGUGAUUGGUCUCUAUCUUCAUUGAUCAGGACGAAACUCGCCCAUUAAAGCGGUACGUGAGCUGGGUUUAGAACGUCGUGAGACAGUUUGGUCCAUAUCCGGUGUGGGCGUUAGAGCAUUGAGAUUUCUGAUGUGAAUUCAGCGGGUCAACCCCCUUUCCUACGGGUUCCCCCACCGACCCAGAUCGGCCAAAAAAUUCGCCAAUCCGCCAUGAGAUGAUAUAACCCCCUUUGUACUUCAGAAAUACCCGAUCCAGAGAUAAAAAAGAAUCAAAUUUUCUGCUAGAUCCCGUUUUGGAAUCAAAAGAUGGUUGCUGAAACAGCCCCGAAAACCUAAGGGUUCCUCCGCAAGGUUUGUCCACGGAGGGUGAGUCAGGGCCAUUCGAGUAGCUUUCACUCCUUCGCUUGAAAUGUGCGGUUGGUUUACCUAACGUAUGGCUUCCCCAACGCCCAGGAAAGGGUCACCGAAGUAGGGGACCGCAGCUAGCGAAGUGAACCGUUAGAAACCGAGGUAUAAAUAACAACAAGUCAGGCAUGAAGAUUCAUUCAAAGAUUUCGAGAAAUUGCAGAAAUAUCACAAAGAUAUUUUCAUCAUUGUCAUGUUGAGUAUGAAUCUAUUCUAAGCGCGAGUAGUAGGAAGGGGAGGCAUCAAGUCAAAGAUUUCCCUCUUAAACUCCGUCCAAACUACAACAACCUCCGUGAACAUACGCUUUGUCAGUUCAUUUUUUAUAUAACUUCAAUUCAAUAAUUAAGAAAAAAGAUUAAAAAGGCUGAAGAAGCACCAUUGGUGAUUAAUCUAAGUAUAUGCCUUGGAGGCAUUCAAUGGAAAAAUAAUAUUCAUCCAUCAGGGAAAAAAGGGGACAAUGAAUUUCAUCUCACACGACCUCUCGAUCUACUUACUGCAGCCCAGGAAGAAAAAUGUCGUCUAGGCGUUCCCUGUUGCUCCGAUCUUUACUUAUUUCUAAUUCAUUCACUUCAAGACUGGUUCUGAACGCCGCCUAACAUCAUCUUCAACCAACGACCUUGGCUUUUUAGAGAAUCCCGCUCCUGUGUCGUAGGACUUUCCGCUCGGCAGUCCAUCGGGUGGGUUUGUUUCUCCUUCCAAUUUCGAGUGUCUUCUUGGAUAGAAAAGGGUUGAUGGAAGUGCAUUUGAUUGGGACAUUAGUGAGUUAAUGAGCACUGUUUGCAUGGUUCCAUCAACUCAUUCCAUCGAGGGAUUUACUUUAUCAUGAAUCAAUUGAUUCUAUAUGACUUAUUACUACUACCCCUUUCGCACUUUAUUCGUACAUGGAAUGGGGUAGAGGGAAAUGGAAUUUUAUUUUUUAUUUCGCAAAUGGGCAUUGUCAUACUUCACCUCGAAGAAAGCUGUCUCCCUAUCAGCAUCUCCAUGGAUAAGAAGGAAGUGGCCUCAGUGGAAGAGGAGGGUUAGAUCUUCUUUAGCUUAGCUGGGAAGAAAGAGUUUGAUAGAAUUAAUCUGCUUUCCUUGGCGAGCUCACUGGAAUAUCAGCAUCUCCAUGGAUAAGAAGGAAGUGGCCUCAGUGGAAGAGGAGGGUUAGAUCUUCUUUAGCUUAGCUGGGAAGAAAGAGUUUGAUAGAAUUAAUCUGCUUUCUCCUUUUAUUUUUGAAUUUGGCACUAUUUAAAUAAAAAAGAACCUACAAUUAGGUUUUCUUCCUUAAACACUAACCCGAACAAGACUCAUCAAUAAGGUAACUCCGCCCAUGCAGGAAAGGCAAAUGAAAGAAGAAAGCAAAAUUAGCUUUGGGAGUGUGAGAUAGGCAGACGGGGAGUACGCAGCCGAACAACCGCUGGGGUUUCCAGCAGUGAUAGCUGAACUAAUCAGAUGGGCCGCCCCAAACCUUACACUGACAUUUUAAUCGGAAAUCAACACUGGGUCCCGGCUAUCCGAAAAACGCAGACUGACGGAAGCCUCCAAAAAUGAUUUUCAAAAAAUGGGUGAUCAAAAGAUCGAAUUCACUUGAAUAGGAAGUUGAAUCGUGAGCAGGCUAUUGGAUUUCUUCCUCGCUACCCACCUUCUGUCUUCCUUACUUUCUAUCUUGUCUAAGCUUGCUGGAUUUUCCUCAUCCGCUGUAUUGAAUCAAAUCCUCAGUAGCCAUACCGAAAAUGAACCAAUGCCAACAGAGGAGUUACGGGCGAGCAAGAAAACCCUAUGGCUAAGAGGACUGCGACCGUGAAGGGAGGGAUGAGCCCGAAUGCCCACUUUGGGAUAUCCUCUGGGUCUUAGUCAAAUAUAACCGAGGGAAUAGAAUGAAUCGUCUCUUUUAUGUGGUUAACACGGGGCCGAAAGGUUUGACGCGCGUUCCUAGCUUUGAUCUAGCCAAUCAUUCUUCUGCCGAUUAUCCAAGUUCGGUAUUCCGUAAGUUCCUAGGUCAUAUCGAAAUGACUCCAUUGAGAGUAAGAUCUGUAGCCGUGACCUUCUCUUGAAUUCUCAAAAAAACUUCUGUCGCUCCAUCCCCGCAGGGGCAGAGAGAAGGAAUUCAUGAGUGACUGACUAUACUAUGGAACUAGUCUACUGUUAAAGGAUGUACACCUCUUCCUUAUGGAUAGAUGGUACCACCGCGAUGUACAAAAUCCUCUGUUUACGAUUCUCUCAAAUAUGAGUUUUCUUUAUCAACAUGGUAGCGAGAAGAGAGACAACAGAUGGAAUUGGAGAGAAAGGUGGAGCUCCAGCCAAUCGGGUAAGCGAACUAUCUUACGACAAGAUCUUAUGAAAAGAAAAGAACGAUCGUCAGCGGAGAUCGCAAUACGAAGUUUUUUAGACAUAAUCCUCGGCAUCAGAGAAUUCCAGGGAUUUUCUCUAUUUAAAGUAGGAGAUAGCCGGGUAUUCCCACAGAGAAGUCUUGCUCUGGCUUGCCCAAAGCGUUGAACAUAGAGAAUUAAGGUUGUCUUACAUACACACUGGUGGAAUUUCAUUUUCUUCCGCUUUUUAAAAUAGUAAGAGGGGAAUUCAAUGAAUUGGAUCCGCCCCGAUUCGAUCAAUAAUGGAUUCUGGGCUAGAGAAAGGUUCUGUGACAUGGACGCCCAGCCCAACUCGGUCGGUCGGUUAGCCCACCUAACAGAUGAUGAGAUUCUCGAUCGAUUUGAUCGAAUUUCAAAAAGUCUUUCUCACUAUUCAGAACAGUGGAGCUUUCGAUCAAGAUCUUCUCGCCUCACCCGUUUGGGCUCUCACUCGAAUCGGAACCUUUAUGCGUUGGUAGGCUUUCGACUCAAUCUAAUGGCCUACCUAUCGUGCGCAGCAUCAAAAAGAAAGUCUGAAUUUUCUACGGAAGCCGGCUCGAAAUAUUUGAUCUUAGGUGCAUUUCCCUCUGGAAUAUUAUUGUUUGGGUACGACCGGACAACUACCGAUAUCUAUUAAUAUCUUUUCUUAGAAUGUUCUUUAGAAAUAUAUAUCUAUCUAUCUAUAUCGUAAACUAUCGGAUCGGGUAUUACUUAGAUGUGAAACUUGCAGACCUCCUCGCCGCUACAAACGGGGUCUCGGUUGAUUUCCCUUCGUUUAGCUACUAAGAUGUUUCAGUUCGCUAAGUUUGAAAAGUCCUCUUCUGUUCCGCUUUCUUCUGCUCACCAAAUCGAAACUCCAUUUUAAAACUCGGAUCGAGGAUCCACACCUUCCCAAAUUCGACUUCUUUCCCCGGAACAGCAGUAGAAAGAGUGAACUUGCCCAGCGAGGGCCGAGACCAAUGCUAUCAAUAAGAAGGAGAGACGGUUGCAUAGGAGACGACUCGGCAUCAGCGGCUUCGUGCCGCACUGGAGUAAUCCAAUAUGUGGUUCCACACGUUCCACCAUUUCUCCGUUCAUUUCCAGUACUGAUCGUGAAAUGGAACCAAUUUCUAUCGCUUUCCCCCUCUAGUGGUCAUUCAUUCUUUUGAUGACUUGCAGUCGAAAGAGUUGGUUGGCAGUUCAAACCUCACAUGUUGUCCCUAUUCCCUAUGUCUUCUAGUCUAAACUCUGAUCCUGGCCUCC
rnacentral:lncRNA from 1 species